CAGGACAUGUUUUAAUGCAGUGGUGUACGCGAUCCUGUCCAGGGAAAUCCUAUUUAUUAGCCAAAGAAGUUGCUAAUUAACUUUGUAAGAAUAAAUUCCUGUCGUUUCCUAAACACCCAAAUUUAUGUUUUUUGACUUUUUGCUUCUUCAGGUUGCUUCUCUCAAGCCUCUUUAGCUCAUUUGAGCAUCAAGUCUGAGCAGCCUGCCCUGAAGUUGAAGCACGCUCAGCUAGCAAUGAUUGAGCUGUCACAGUCUGGGUACCAGCCAUGUUCUCAGAAAGUGCUUACACUCAUAAGGUACACGGCCCAGCAGUUUCCUGAGGCAGGUUUGAUGGGAAACACUCUGCCUUGGAUCUUCUAACUUCCAAUGAAGAAACUGGAGAAGCCCAGUGCCGCUCUGGCUUCUACGAUUGACAAUGACUAAUUCCUUCUAUUUGAGGUGUGAUAUCCAAGAAAUUACUACUUAAAAUGUCACAAAGAAGGCCAGAGACAUGAGUGGAGUCAGCAGUUAAGAACACAUGCUGCUCUCACAGAGGACCCAGGUUUGGCUCCCAGCACCUCAUCAUGUGGCUCACAA